GUAGUACUCCCUCCGUCCGGAAAUACUUGUCAUCAAAAUGAAUAAAAGGGCAUGUAUCUAAAUGUAUAUUAGUUCUAGAUACAUCUUUUUUAUCCAUUUUGAUGACAAGUAUUUUUGGACGGAGGGAGUACUUG
rnacentral:pre_miRNA from 1 species